rnacentral:lncRNA from 1 species
GUGGGAAAAAAGAGCAUCACUUUGGCAUGAUCAGCAAAUAUGGUGCAGUUAUCCCAGCAUUCCCAUCAUUUGAUAUGUAUAAGCAUCAGCCAGAAUUUGAAUAGUAGUGCAGUCUACAUGCACGUUAAAUGAAGUUAAAAAGGAGAAGACAAGGUAAAAUUAUUAAUAAAAAAUUAUGAUUUUCUUUUGAAGUCAAACAAGUAUGGAAAUGGGUGU